GCCGCUGAAGCUGCUUCCACCAGCAGACACCCUGGCUGAGCUGCUGCCGCCAGCCCUGGAGGAGGAGACACGAGUCGAGCGAGGCAUCGUGUUCCUGCAAACGUGAGCUUGUCCAGGCGAAUAGGAGAGUCUGAUAAAAAGAGAGCAACCUCCUUUUUGAGUCACAUUUCAAGAAAUGAAGAGAUGAUGCUGAUACUUCCUGCCUUCGUUUUAAAGGAAACUUGAUGAGAGAGCAAGGGUGAAUCUGUACAAAGAAUUUGACUCUUGAAGAGACAGCUCAGCCCUCAUGUCUGUCUGACAAUGUGUCUUCAGCACCAACUUUUUAUAUGAGAGGUUAUGUACAUUAUCUCCUGUCAGGUGCACAGUGUCUGCAAAAGGAUAGCAAAAUGUAGAUGACCAGCUCUUACCUCUUUAUGGUUCUUUUUGAGGUCAUCAAUUAUCGGGAAAUAUCUGCUAUAGUCAUGAUCAAGACCACGGCAAGAGCCGGGCCCAAAUUUCUCAUACCAGCCCUUGAUCUUCUGCUCCAGGUCAGCGUUGGCCUCCUCCAGAGCACGCACGUUGUCCAGAUCUUCAAUGACUGAGAAGUAUCUGCUAUAGUCAUGAUCGUGUCCCCGGGAAGAGCCAGGCUCACAUUUCUGGUACCAGCCCUUGAUCUUCUGCUCCAGAUCUGCGUUGGCCUCCUCCAGAGCACGCACAUGGUCCAGCCUGGUGUCCUCAGGGGGCAUGAAACCUCUUAUGACGAAGGGAGUCCUUAGGCCACGUACAUGCCGUAAUUCUCAAAGUCAAGCCUUUUGAGCACUGCCAGCUCACACUCUAGAAGGGAAGCCAUUUUUAAUCCUGGCUGGCUUUAAUCCAUUUUGACUGCAUGCUGAUGUUUGAAGUAAGCCAGGAGUUGGUGGUAUGUGCCCAAAUGGCUGAAGGCCUGACUCCCAGGUGUGCCCUCCAGGAUCUGACCUCCACCCUGGACUCUGUGGCGAUGAAGAGCCUGACAGUGCCCAUGUGGCAUUCAGGUAAAGCUUCUCCUGCCUCUUCAUGGUUCUUCUUGAGAUAUGUCAUCUCCUCACUCAGAGACUCAUAUUGCAGCUCCUGGUCAGUCCUGCAGAGUGUCAGUUCGUCCAGGACUCGCCGUAAUCCGUUGAUGUCAGCCUCUACGUUUUGGUGAAGGCAUUUGCCUCCUCCAGAGCUCGCACGUUAUCCAGGUAGGAUGCCAAGCGGUCAUUAAGAUUUUGCAUGGUCACCUUCUCAUUUCCAGAGAGGAGUCCCCCUUCGCUUCCAGCAAAGCCAAUACAAGCAACAUUUCCAAGGGCACCACCAGCAUGGCUCCCACCAGGAACGCUGCCCAAGCCCCCUCCCAAGGCACAGGAAAAUUCACUUCCAGCAACAGAGCUGCCACAUGCACUGCUGCCCGCAAAGCCUGCACCUCCAUUGGGUGGUCUGACAGAUCCAGCUCCAGACCUUAAGCAAACAUGCCUGGAUCCAUUAGAAAAUCGGAGAGACAUGGUGUUUUGAAAAAUGUUCACCUUGUCUGUGUGGAACUGUAAUGUCCCAGGAGAACAAAAUAUCAUGCACUGAUGAUUUCUUUGGGCUUUUAUAUACAACUAUUGGGGCGUUCCUAUUUGAGUUAUAUAUGCCAAAAGAAAAAUGGCAUCACUUAGAUUAGCAUAAAAUUAUGUAUAAUUGAGUGAUUUUAAAAAUAAUUAAUGUCUAACAUCCCUAGGUGUUGCUUUGGGCUAUUUGUUAUCUUAAAUAUAAUAGGGUCUGUUCUAUAUUAAGUUUAUUAAUUUAACUUCUAAUUUUGAGUGAGUAAUCCUUUACUUUCAUCUAGACCCUAGGCACGUACUAUCAUUAUCUGGCGCCAGGUAUUAUCAAAGUUUUUAUAAAGUUAAGUAAGAUUAUGAUAGAGCUCUGUGAGGUACAGUAGGGUCUCAAUUACCACUGAGGGGUAUAAAGGACUGCUAACUACAGAAACAAAUAUUCUACCCCACCAGAAAAAAAUGUGUUAUUUAGAAAACAGAGACUAGUGACAUCUCUGUUCCUACCAUGAUUGUAACAUUUAUUUAUUAUCUUGGACAAUGACACAAAUAUUGACCUAUUAUUUUGUUUAAGAUAGCAUAGUUAUGAUGUCUGGUGCUCUAUGCUAAGUGCUAAAAUGAAAGACAUAGUGCUAACUAAAUGCAGAAAUGAAAAAUGCAUGAUUACCAUCUUUAAGAAAUCUAUUGUCAGAUUCAGACAGGGGCUGGCUCAUGGUUAGCCUUCUGUGCUGGUCUAAAGAGUUUGUAAUGAAUCCUAAGUAGAAAGCAGAGGGCAACAUGAUCAUGUUGAAAUGAAACAAGGUGGACAAUUACAAGGUUGGAACAAUGGUCCAGGUGAGAAGAAUGAAGGCAGUGGGGAUGCAGAGAAAAUGGCUUUGAGAGCAUAUGGUAAUAUGAUUGAAUUUGGAGAGUAGGGAAUAAGGCAGAAUUGGGGAUAACUCUUAGGUAAUUAAUUUUAGAUUCUGGGAAUUCAUAAUAUUCACUGAGAUGGGGAAUAGAGGAGGAGGAAGACACUGAGUUUAGGUUUGGACCAACUGGAUUUGAGGGGUUGCUAGAAUGUUGCAGAUGAGAUGAAGGUGGCUGAUAGAAAGAAUGACCGUUUAGAAUAUGUACACUGAACUGGAAAAAUACUUGACUCGCAAUGAGUAAAAGAAAAUUGGAGGUCCAGCUCUCAUUCAUAAUGACGUUCAACUGCAUGUUUGGAAGUAAUCCUGGUGCAGGAAUAGAAAGGAUGAUGAUCAGACUGAUGUGGGUUCAACUGCAUGUUUGGAAGUGAUCCUGGUGCAGGAAUAGAAAGGAUGAUGAUCAGACUGAUGUGGGUUUUGGGAUUUGAAGACAGGUCCAGAAGAAGGAAACAGUGGCAAAGAAGUUUCUGGUGUUCUUGAGAAAACGGUUGAGGCGAUUGACUGUAUGAUCAUAUAGCAAGAAGAAAGUAAAAUCAGAGGGACAGAUGGACUGAAGAAAAGGGCAGAGGGUGAGUCAUUGGGCAUCCUUAUGAGGUCAUGGAGCAGGCGGAGUGUGAGGGGGAGAUUGAUAAAGGUGAAGGAUGACAGGCUAAAGUUGGAUAGUGGAAACCAGAAUUUAGAAUUUUAAAGUAGGCACAACUCCAGGUGUCACCAAAGUCCAGAGAGUAGUCAUGGGACUGGACCAACAGUCACUGAUACAAGAAGUCAGAAGUGGAUUGGACCUGAAAGGCAAGAGAGUAGGAGGUCAGGAACUAUCUGUCUAUGACGUUAAAUGGACCAUCUGUAAAGGCAUGAACUUUCUCAUGAUGGCAGGAGACGAGAAGGCAGUGGGCUGUGAGCCAGUGUCAAGGUUUUUGGACAAUGAGGCGGAGGGGAGUGUGUGUAGUGAGGGGUCGUUGAAUGGCGUUUGCCUCAAAAGAGGAGUCUUAGCAUAAGAAUUAAGUGGCACAAAGCUAGAUGUGGCAUUGGGGAUCUAGAGAACACAGACUCUGCCUUGAAGUCCUUAUGUUAGGUGUGUGGAAGUGGGAGCAGAAGAGUAGAUGGAGGUGAAGAAGGAGGAUGGAGAGGAGAUGAGAG